CAACCUGCAGAAACCAAAUUUUGUACAGCAUAUAGGUCCACACAAAAAAGACUCGCAAAAGAAAGGGGAGCUGCCCUGGACAAGUUCUCAUGGCAGCCCAGACCUUUACUCCUCAAUAAGCAAAAACUUACAGAAAAGAACAAUGGAAGGUAGCUGUGAACAUGCAAAGAAAUCUGUCCUGAGCCAAAAGGUACAUGCUGUAUGCUUGUGCAUUUCUGCAAACAACAUGCGGGAAAGGGAUGUAAACAUGAGAUAAAAAAAAAAAGGAAGAGCCAAAGGAAAAACUAAGCAAGAGAUCCUGGAAGAAGAACUUACAUUAAGCACAGUGGCCCAACUAUGAGUGCCAACUAAGCCUUUACCAAAACCAUGGAACCAGCUUCAAGAAAAGUAUAUAGAUCCCUGUACUCCCACUAAAAUGACCCAAGGAAUAUCCAGCUGUGAAAGCAUCACACAGAGCAAGUGAGUGCAGUACCUGACACCAACCAGCAGAGGACCGAGCAUCAGCGCAGCACUGGCUUUACGGCAAAACUUUCCCUAAUCUGAACAUCCUCAACCAGAAAAUCAGGAUCUUCUUAAGAAACUACAAAGCUCUGCACCGUCUCACGAGGAGAAUCCCUGGAUUUGAGAAGGAAAAGGGACAGAGUAUGGGCAGGAAAGACAAGGAGCAAUGGGGCUCUAAGUCCUGUCCUCUGUCCUGACACUGUGCUCUACUGCAUCAGUUGUGGUAUCCCCCAGGUUAUGUUCUCCAGAAUUUAGAAAAAUACUCAAAAGGAUUUGGAGCUCCUUGGGUCA